UACGUAGGGGGGCAAGCGUUGUCCGGAAUCAUUGGGCGUAAAGCGCGUGUAGGCGGUUCGAUAAGUCUGCUGUGAAAGUCCAGGGCUCAACCCUGGGAUGCCGGUGGAUACUGUCGAGCUAGAGUACGGAAGAGGCGAGUGGAAUUCCCGGUGUAGCGGUGAAAUGCGCAGAUAUCGGGAGGAACACCAAUUGCGAAGGCAGCUCGCUGGGACGUCACUGACGCUGAGACGCGAAAGCGUGGGGAGCAAACAGG
rnacentral:rRNA from 1 species